UACGUAGGGUGCGAGCGUUAAUCGGAAUUACUGGGCGUAAAGCGUGCGCAGGCGGCUAUGCAAGACAGAUGUGAAAUCCCCGGGCUCAACCUGGGAACUGCAUUUGUGACUGCAUAGCUAGAGUACGGUAGAGGGGGAUGGAAUUCCGCGUGUAGCAGUGAAAUGCGUAGAUAUGCGGAGGAACACCGAUGGCGAAGGCAAUCCCCUGGACCUGUACUGACGCUCAUGCACGAAAGGCGUGGGGAGCAAACAGG
rnacentral:rRNA from 1 species